CAGCCAUGUGGAUAGUGUAGAUGAAGGAAGCAAACUGAUGACAGGCGGCUAUUACUGCCCUCAAUGUUUCAGUAAAUACUGCGAACUUCCUGUUGAAUGUCGAGCUUGUGGUUUGACACUAGUCUCUGCUCCACAUUUAGCGCGGUCCUACCAUCAUUUGUUUCCUGCUUCCAGUUAUAAAGAAAUUGGUUUAGAGAACCAAAGUACAUGUUGUUUUGCUUGCCAGAAAGUAUUUGGAGAAGUUGACAAACAGGUAUAUGAAUGUCCGAACUGCAAAAAAGUAUUUUGUUUGGAUUGUGAUAUAUUCAUUCAUGAUACCCUGCAUACAUGUCCCGGUUGUGCAACUAACCUCUCCACUUUUCAAAUCAACCAUUCAAAUUGAUUAACGUGACACUGUAUGAUUACUGAAUAAAUCUGCCAUUUAAAAACUC